UAUUUAAUUGUCACGUUUGUAAACGUUCAUUACUCCCUUAUUAAUAAUGUAUUGUGCGGGUAAUAUGGUAUUGUUUAUCAUAUUUAUAUGGAUCAUUAGGUGGAUUAAAUCAAAUGUACGAAAAUCCGGAAGGUCUUUUCCCCAUGUGCUGCUGGCUAGUGUCUUCAUGAUUUUGUUGCGACUCUGUUAUUUGGCAGUUAUCGGGGUCGUAUGAGGAGUAAAGGAGUACAGGCUGUCCGGUGGCACCUAAGAUCUUAAGAUUGCUGACAGUCGACAAUUGCAAAGUAAAGGUCUAGCCUGUAGUCCUUCGUCCAGUUUGCGAAUAUGUUAGGCUCCUUUCAGAGAAAAAGCGAGAAAGGUGGGAGAUAAUAUAUGAAACGAUUGCAUGCAAUUAGUUUUUGUUUUCAUAAGAUUUCAGCAGUAAAACUUCUUCUUAAUAAUUGCACAGUACAAUUAUUGAAAACUAAUACUGAAAUAGUUUAUAAUAAAUGCUUAACAUAUGCAUUUUAUCUGAAUCAAUUGUUAGGAAAAUAUGAAAAAAUUUAACAACAUAGUUAUCGAUUAACACAUGUGUUCAUCCUUAUAUUUGAUAAUAAUGGAAAAGGAAGGCAAGUAAUUGUAAACAAUAUAAAUUUCAUUAUAUUAUAAUUAUUACAGUAUAKGUUUACAGAUCAUAAUAAAGUGUCGCGCACCUCAAAUUAGCAAAUAGAGUGCUAUCACAACUUUGUGCGGGUUCACCCGGAGAUAAAGUUUAAUAAAAACGACCCAUCGCGGCCAAAAAGAAUGGAGGAGCUUUGGGCGGAACUUUCCAUGUAAUUAAAUUCCCAAAAAAGGCCUACCCGGGACCCCAUCAAAUGGAGAGAGAAUAUGAGCCAUUGGAAAAACCAAGUAAGACCUCGUGCAAGGAAAGCCAAGGCGCACAAGCUGGUGACAGGUGGCGGUCCCAGCUCAACAAU